AUUGAACGCUGGCGGCAUGCCUUACACAUGCAAGUCGAACGGUAACAGGUUAAGCUGACGAGUGGCGAACGGGUGAGUAAUACAUCGGAACGUGCCCAGUAGUGGGGGAUAGCCCGGCGAAAGCCGGAUUAAUACCGCAUACGACCCAAGGGUGAAAGGGGGGGAUCGCAAGACCUCUCGCUAUUGGAGCGGCCGAUGUCAGAUUAGCUAGUUGGUGGGGUAAAAGCUCACCAAGGCGACGAUCUGUAGCUGGUCUGAGAGGACGACCAGCCACACUGGGACUGAGACACGGCCCAGACUCCUACGGGAGGCAGCAGUGGGGAAUUCUGGACAAUGGGCGCAAGCCUGAUCCAGCCAUGCCGCGUGCGGGAAGAAGGCCUUCGGGUUGGAAACCGCUUUUGUCAGGGAAGAAAUCCUUUGGGUUAAUACCUCGGGGGGAUGACGGUACCUGAAGAAUAAGCACCGGCUAACUACGUG
rnacentral:rRNA from 1 species